AUUGAACGCUGGCGGCAUGCCUUACACAUGCAAGUCGAACGGCAGCACGGGAGCUUGCUCCUGGUGGCGAGUGGCGAACGGGUGAGUAAUGCAUCGGAACGUGCCCUGAAGUGGGGGAUAACGUAGCGAAAGUUACGCUAAUACCGCAUAUUCUGUGAGCAGGAAAGCAGGGGAUCUUCGGACCUUGCGCUUUUGGAGCGGCCGAUGUCGGAUUAGCUAGUUGGUGGGGUAAAGGCCCACCAAGGCGACGAUCCGUAGCGGGUCUGAGAGGAUGAUCCGCCACACUGGAACUGAGACACGGUCCAGACUCCUACGGGAGGCAGCAGUGGGGAAUUUUGGACAAUGGGCGCAAGCCUGAUCCAGCCAUGCCGCGUGAGUGAAGAAGGCCUCGGUUGUAAGG
rnacentral:rRNA from 1 species